rnacentral:rRNA from 1 species
GACGAACGCUGGCGGCGUGCUUAACACAUGCAAGUCGAACGGAAAGGCCCUGCUUGCAGGGUGCUCGAGUGGCGAACGGGUGAGUAACACGUGGGUGAUCUGCCCCUUACUUUGGGAUAAGCCUGGGAAACUGGGUCUAAUACUGGAUAGGACCAUGCUGUAGGUGGUGUGGUGGAAAGAUUAGUUUCGGUAAGGGAUGAGCUCGCGGCCUAUCAGCUUGUUGGUGGGGUAAUGGCCUACCAAGGCGUCGACGGGUAGCCGGCCUGAGAGGGUGGACGGCCACAUUGGGACUGAGAUACGGCCCAGACUCCUACGGGAGGCAGCAGUGGGGAAUAGUGCACAAUGGGCGCAAGCCUGAUGCAGCGACGCCGCGUGGGGGAUGACGGCCUUCGGGUUGUAAACUCCUUUCAGCCAUGACGAAGCCCUUGUGGUGACGGUAGUGGCAGAAGAAGCACCGGCUAACUACGUG